rnacentral:rRNA from 1 species
UACGUAGGGUGCAAGCGUUAAUCGGAAUUACUGGGCGUAAAGCGUGCGCAGGCGGUUUUGUAAGUCUGACGUGAAAUCCCCGGGCUCAACCUGGGAAUUGCGUUGGAGACUGCAAGGCUGGAGUCUGGCAGAGGGGGGUAGAAUUCCACGUGUAGCAGUGAAAUGCGUAGAGAUGUGGAGGAACACCGAUGGCGAAGGCAGCCCCCUGGGCUAACACUGACGCUCAUGCACGAAAGGCGUGGGGAGCAAACAGG